rnacentral:pre_miRNA from 1 species
UACCUCUUCUGAGCUGGACCUCACCACUUAUUGCACAGUGUUGAGGUAGGCCGAGUAGAAGGUAA